rnacentral:misc_RNA from 1 species
GAUGAAGAACGUAGCGAAAUGCGAUACGUAGUGUGAAUUGCAGAAUUCAGUGAAUCAUCGAAUCUUUGAGCGCACAUUGCGCCCUUUGGUAUUCCAAAGGGCAUGCCUGUUCGAGCGUCAUUUGUACCCUCAAGCUUUGCUUGGUGUUGGGCGUCUUGUCUCCAGUCCGCUGGAGACUCGCCUUAAAGUCAUUGGCAGCCGGCCUACUGGUUUCGGAGCGCAGCACAAGUCGCACUCUUUUCCAGCCAAGGUCAGCGUCCAACAAGCCUUUUUUCAACUUUUGACCUCGGAUCAGGUAGGGAUACCCGCUGAACUUAAGCAUAUCAAUAAGCGGAGGA